GUCAAGUCAUCAUGGCCCUUACGCCUGGGGCUACACACGUGCUACAAUGGUCGGGACAGAGGGAGGCGAAGUCGUGAGGCGGAGCAAAUCCCAAAAACCCGGCCCCAGUUCGGAUUGCAGGCUGAAACUCGCCUGCAUGAAGCCGGAGUUGCUAGUAACCGCAGGUCAGCACUACUGCGGUGAAUACGUUCCCGGGCCUU
rnacentral:rRNA from 1 species